rnacentral:lncRNA from 1 species
CAUUACGGUGGUCAUCUUUCAUUCCUAUAGCUUUACCGGUGUUUAAGCCUCCAUCAUGCUGCCUUUUUGACCUAAACUCCUCUAGUAAUCUUUGCACAAAUUUCAUCGUAUAACCAUGGUUUCAGGCUACAUCUUUUAUCCGCAUUAUUUCAUUUUCAACAUCCUUGAUUCGUGUGCAAUGGGUGUGGGCUCUUCUUAUAUGUGCUCUAAAAGCCGCCUUCUUGUGGGUCCAUGUAUCAUGAGACCAACUCGGUAUUAUAAGUGUCUGACUUGUUGGUUUUCUAUAAAUAUUGGUGCUAAAAGACGCUCCUUGCACUUUAAGUUCAACGUCCAAAAAAUGUAUAAGAUUGUCACUAACUUGUUCCAGUUUCAACGUUAAUCCAUAGGCCUGUUGGGUGAAGGUUUUCUCUAAAACAUGGACAUCUCUAUCUUUAUCCCAGAGAACGAAAAGGUCAUCAACAUAACGUAUAUAUAAUUUUGUUUCAUUUAUUAAAGAAUUCCAUAGUGAGUUUUCUAAAGUUGUUAGUGUUAGUUCAGCU